AUGUAUGAGCCGCCCAUGGCACACAUGUAUUACCGGGAAUGCACUUCAAGCCAAGACAAUAGUGCAGAUCUAGCGGCCACUAUCGACUGCCUAGGCUACACGAGUUGUCCCNNCCCCCUCCAGCUAGGCAUUAUUCGGGAAACACUUUACGCCACGUUGAUAACUACCCAAAGUGACUUUUUCGCAGCAGGUUAUGAAAAUGGACGUAGCAUGUUAGGACACUGAGGUUAAGGUUAUUAAAAGGUUAGAGAAAAUGCUACUCUAACCUGCUACCAAAAUCAGAAGAUUGUGUCCUGGAAUUAUUCUGCACUUUGUGUUUAGGUUGUGUGUGUGUGUGUCACAACACCUAUCAAUUUAACCACUUUUUCACUAAAAUAUUUUUACACAACCAACCAUUUCAUGAAAUGGGAGACAAGUUAAAAAUCAUGCUUGUGUUUUGUUGCACCUCGGCUAGUUACAUUAGGGGCAUCAAAAAAAAAAAAAGUGUAGAGCCGGCCUUGCCACUACGCACUAGCCUAUAAACAUUUUUUGCGAUAUAGGGAGUAAACAUACUUGAAUUGAGUCACAGUUAGAUAAGUAGAUGCUCCUGUGCUCAUUCGACUAUUUGAGUAGUUAGCUAGUCGGUACUCCCAACAGCGGAAGAAAGUCAUCAACAUUAGCUACAAACAAAGUGGAUAGCCGGUUAGUAGCAUUGUUCCGCUGGCCAGAGAAGAGGCAGGGCAUUUGAAACACGAGUCGACGUAGCUAAAGUUAGCUAGCUAGAAAGCCGUUACGUUUGAGGGCAGACCCCCCCAAAAGCAUUACAUUCCUGACUCGAGGACAAGAGAACAUAAUGCCGUAUUGACAAACCGGCUGGUAACGUUCGUUAAAGCUAGCUAACGUUAGCUUUUUAAACACCUAUGCUAUCACGGCUUGCUAUCCUUUCCCCCCAUAUAAUAGUUUGUGCAACGUUACCUUCUUGUGCAAACCGCUGCUCCCUUGCGCCGAUAACUCCGAUCAAAUUUGAACAAGGACACACUUUCUUUACAAAAUACUAAAGAGAACUGCACUCACGCCUCCUCAUCAAAUAUUGCGUUUUCAGGUACAAAUCUAGUCAAGCCUUGUCCAAAGUAAAAUGGCAACUGAUAGGGGUGUUUCAGUUUUUAAGAACUGAAAGAGAAGAUGGGCGGAGUUUCGUCUUCUUCUUUGGUAUAAUGGCGUUCCCACAUUUAUUUGUGCAUGCCGCCACCUACUGUGCGGAAGAGUGUGAUGGUUACAUUUUGUAUUAAAAGGACGACAGAAAGAAAAAAAUGGCAUCACCAACUAACCCCACACACCACUAUUCCAUAAAAAUGUAAAACACCAGUUGCGAUUUUAGCAUGUAAAUCUUGGUGGGGCAAACAAACCGAAA
rnacentral:lncRNA from 13 species